ensembl:misc_RNA Metazoa_SRP Metazoan signal recognition particle RNA
GCUAGGAGUUGUGGUACAUGCUUAUAACCCUGGCUACUUGGGAGGCUGAGGCUCUGGAGAAUCCCUUGAGCCCAAGACAUAGUGUGCUAUGCUGAUAGGGUGCCAACUGAUGCUAAGUUUGGCAUCAAUACGGUGACAUUCCAGGAGCGGGGGACCACUAGUGCCUAAGGAGGGGUGAACUGGCCUAGGUAGGAAACAGAGCAGAUAAAAUUCCUGCACAGAUUAGUAGUGGUAUAGCAACUGUAAAUAGCCACUGCACUCUAGCCUGAGCAACAGAGCGAGAUCCUCUU